UGGGGAAUAUUGGGCAAUGGGGGCAACCCUGACCCAGCGACGCCGCGUGAGGGAAGACGGCCUUCGGGUUGUAAACCUCUUUUGUACGGGAAGAAGGAAGUGACGGUACUGUACGAAUAAGUCCCGGCUAACUACGUGCCAGCAGCCGCGGUAAUACGUAGGGGACGAGCGUUGUCCGGAAUUACUGGGCGUAAAGGGCGCGCAGGCUGUGCUGCAAGUCAGCUGUGAAAUGUCUGGGCUUAACCCGGGCAUGCGGUUGAGACUGCAGUGCUGGAGUGCUGUAGAGGCAAGUGGAAUUCCCAGUGUAGCGGUGAAAUGCGUAGAUAUUGGGAAGAACACCGGUGGCGAAGGCGACUUGCUGGGCAGCAACUGACGCUGAGGCGCGAAAGCCAGGGGAGCAAACGG
rnacentral:rRNA from 1 species